GACAGUCUCAGUUUAAACAGGGAUGGUGCUUUCGCAGAAGAUUCAUGGAACAUUCAAAAGUGCAGUGGAGAGGAUGACUGGUCCUCGAACGGUCUCAGCUUUCAAGGAGAAGGGAGUUCUACAGGAUCAGGAUCGUGCGGCUUGGCUCUAUCAAGCGAUGGUAACGAUCGCGGAUUCGAAAUCAAGCAUGCUGGAGAUCGAUUCAUUCUCAUGAAUCUCAAGAUAGCAAGAAAACGCCAUUCUCAGGUCACUUUGGGAUCUUUCAACUUUGUGAACUCUGUGUGUGAUCUCUCCGCAUGCUCCGUUGAUUCAAAAGAAGAGUCGUCAUGCUUGUCAACUGGUUCCAGUGAGGUUUCCACCACUGCAAGCAGAAUCAAACUCAUAAACCAGAAAAGUUACGAGAAGCUAAGAGUGGUAGUGAAGUAGAAAGAAAGUAGCAGGUCAAGUUCUAUACGCCUUAGAGCAAAAAACAUAUUGGAGUUUCUUUCCUCAGCCUCUGCUUCUGAGGUUCAAAUCCGGCAACACACCAGAUACCAGCAAAGCUCUCAGAAUGUAUGCUCUGCGGCUUUCCUCUCAUACUACACAAACACACUUGUUAACACAUUUUAUCCAUGUAUUAAGUUUCAUUUCUUAGAUAAGCAAUGUGUUGUCAAGCCUCUCAUGCGUCCUGGAGUCAGUAGCUUAUAGUUAUAGGCUUACAGUUCUGAUCAAACCAUCAUCAACCAUCAUCUUAGAUAAGCAAUGUGCUUUCAAGGAGAAGGGAGUUCUCAGCGUCAGCGAGUUCGUUCUCGCCAGUGAUAAUCUCGUCUUCAAGUGCCCUACCUGGUCAUGCUGGUGAUCCAAGCAAGAGAAAGCCAUACUUGCCUUCAGAGAAACAGUUUUUGAUUACUAGGAAUGUUUACAGUAUUUUCUCAUACCAUUUUGUACGCCAGCCACCGAGAGAGAGAAGACAGUGAGGGAGAUGGCGGCGAAGAGAAAAUUCCUUGACUUGACGGGGAUUCCUUUCACCAGAGGCAACUCUUCAGUCGAAUAUUCUUGUGGCUCAAGAACCAGAUGACGAUAGUAUCCUGCGGACCAGAACAUAUAAUGUUAGCAUCACGUAAUCUUCUUGUGCCUUUCCUGCAUUCUUAUUAUGAUCACAGUUACACAUACUCUCGAAUGAUUGUUGAUCUGGAAAUCUUAUUAACUCUCUGUUUCUUGUUCAUGUUUAAGCUUGUAAUGAAAGUGUUUUAUAAUUU